AAACUCAAUCUUGAAAAGGAGGAUCUUAGGAUUUUUUUUUGAGGAUUUUUUCGAAUUAUUUUAUGUUUGUAGUUAAUGUCAAAAUAAAUUAAUAAUGGUGAUUAAUAGAAAAAGAAAGAGAAAAACAUUAACUUUAUCAUUAUUUUAUGUGUGCUCUAAUUUAUUAGUCUAAACACAUCUCAUAGAUCAUAUCAUUUAUCGUUAUUUAAAUAUGAAAAAAAACAUUGUGAUGUUUUGCGAAACUACAACUAAUAAAUAAAAA
rnacentral:lncRNA from 1 species